UGUGAGAUGUAGAGAUUUUGAUGAGAAGAUAUUUUUAACGAUUUUCGCGGUUGUGGGCGAAAGCAGGUUGGUGGCAGCAACAACAAGCGCUGAAUCUGUAUCUGAGUUGGAAGCACACAAGGGGCGGUUUCCGAAUCACUUUUUCUCUUCCACUUAUAUUUCGCGGUUUUUUCAGAUUUUUUUCUUUUACUUCUUAAGGGGAUGAGGUUGAGGUCAAUUUUACUUAUCUUUCUCGUUUUAUUUUUCGCUUCUUCUUUUUCUCUCUCAACCGUUGUCACCGAUUAGGGUUCUUCUUUUGACCUGUGGAAUGCAGCAUGUUGUUGUUCGAAAAUGGCUAAAGUGACCGAGUUAAACGGCGUUAUGAAAGAGACGGAGGUGGAGCAGAAACGGAAUAACGAUGAUAACGGUGAUCGCUCUGCUGAAGUAGUUCGAUGGGAGAGAUUUCUUCCUCGUGUGGCUCUCAGAGUUCUUCUUGUAGAAGCUGAUCAUUCUACUCGCCAAAUCAUCGCUGCGCUUCUUCAGAAAUGCAGUUACACAGUUAUUGCGGUUCCUGAUGGAUUAAAGGCAUGGGAAACGUUGAAGAGGAAGGCACCUGAUCUAGAUCUCAUUUUAACAGAAGUGGAGUUACCGGCAAUAUCUGGAUAUGCACUUCUUUCUUUAAUCAUGGAGCAUGAGAUUUGCAAAAACAUUCCUGUCAUAAUGAUGUCUUCCCAUGAUUCAGUUGGCAUGGUGUUGAAAUGCAUGUUAAAAGGGGCAUCUGAUUUUCUUAUAAAACCCAUUCGGAGGAAUGAGCUUAGGAACUUGUGGCAGCAUGUAUGGAGAAGGCACGCUAUUAGCACUCCUCCUCAAAAUACAUUUCCACAAAAAAAACUUAAAACUGCCUCAGAAAACAAUUCUGCAAGCAAUAAAUCUAGUGGUUCUGUGGCUUCCUCAAAGAAAAACAAUGAAUGCAGUGAGAGAUUGAGUGAGGCUCAAAGCACUUGUACGUCACCCCCAAUUUUGGAAGCUGAAAGUACAUAUGUGGAAAAUAUGCAGGAUGUGUCCCAGCUAAAGAGUUCUUCUAAAUCGAGUGAGAUUGAUGAUGUGGUGAAGCAUGAAGAUUUUACCAAAAUUGAAAGGGAAUCAGCUAAGCAGAACGGUGAAGCUGGAGUUGCUGCAGAGAUAUCAAUUACAAUUGCACCAGAAGCUGCAAAGUACAAUGAAACUUUUGAAUUGACAGAUUUAAGGCUAGAACAAGUUCAUGGUUGUGCUGAAACUGCAAACAAGGAUGAAAUUUUAAGAUCUGACUUAGGCAGAGACAAUCCUGGUAUUAAUACUGAGAUACAUGAAUGCACUAAUGAGCAGGUAGAACAUUCUAAAGGAGCUAUUGACUUGAUUACCAAGUUUGAGAAUCUUUCAAAGCACCACAAUGAAAACUGCGGUCGUGGUAAUGCAACCAAGUUUGACUGUGAUACACAACUAGGACUUUCUUUAAGAAGAGAUUUUCCUGGCAGCUCAUGUAAAAAAGCACGUGAAACAACUGAGGAAACCCAAAGAUUGAACCAUUCAGAUACUUCUGCUUUUUCUUGGUAUAGUAAUAGUAAGUUAUUGCAGCCUCUUUUUCCAACACAAUCUAUUACGGCUACCAAAGUAAACAACCCCAUUGUGGUUUCUGAUGAAUCUCAUAAAUUGUCUGAAAUUACUUCUGGUAAUUAUUGCAACUAUGGUUGCACAGAUCAGAAGCAGGAGAAUAUGACCAGUACAGUCAUUGGUCAGUGUAGCCAAGUUAGACCAAAAUCAUCUACCAGUCAUUCUGGACUGUUACCUGCUACAGGGGUUAUUUCUGAUCUUAAGUCUAAGGGCCAUGGUAAUGCUUUCACUUCUGUGUUCCGAGCACAAUCUGGUAUUCGUUCCAUGUGGAAUCCGAAACCAGUCUGCCAGAAAGAGAGUUCUCCCUUUCCCACAAGUAUUUCCUCCCACUCCAAUCCUGAAAGUCACAACUCAGAUCAACGAUAUGACUGGUCCAAUGAAGCUACCCAUGCUUAUCUUAAUCACAAUGUAAAGGAUAAUAUUCAUUCGGAUCUUGCAAGGCAUGAUUCUCCUGCUGCUGAUCGAAGUGCUGGUAAUAGUUUAUGCCAUGACACUGCAAAUCGUAUUAGUAGUAGUGCAUAUGGAAGCAUGGGCAGUGGGAAUGAUGGAGAUGCUACUUCAGCAAUGGUAUCCAGGAACAACCCUGAAGGUUUUAGUGAUAAUAGUUGCCAUAAUUCUGAUGGAUUAAGAGUGACAGAUUCUCAUCGCUACAGUCAAAGAGAAGCAGCUCUAACAAAGUUUCGGCUUAAGCGGAAAGAGAGAUGCUAUGAGAAAAAGGUUCGAUAUCAAAGCCGGAAAAGACUGGCUGAGCAGCGGCCUCGGGUCAAAGGGCAGUUUGUACGCCAAGUACACAAUGAUCAUCCAACCACUGGUGCCAUUACAGCUGACUUCAACACUGAUUGCAUUAACUACGAUUAGCAGUAGGGUGUAGUGUAUGAGUGUCUGGUGAAAUCUGUUUUUCUUGAAGCAUUGGGCAAGAGAGAAGUCCACUAGGGACAUAGCUAAAGGGUAGGGUUAAGCAUUCUUAGGUGUUUGUUUUCUUCUGGAUUUUAUUUUGACUACCACUUACAAGUUUACCAUUGUAAUUAUUUAGUCCGAUUGGUUUGAUUUUACCUGUGCAUAUGUUUCUUGGUUGUAUACCAGUAUGGGUUUGUAAUUACAUAGGUUGUAAGUUUCAGUAUGAAAAUGGAACCAUCUUUUUUGCUUUCGGUAUCUUGCCCACUGUUUUAAACUCGGAUCACACACGUCUCAUCUAUUGCAAUUGUAAAUUUUACCGACACCGUUGUUAAGUAUCUAAUUAAGUGUGUGCCUUUUAUUAAUAUACUGUCAUGCGUUCCCCUCGCAUGGUCAUGUUCAACUUUUCUGUUUCCUUGUCUCUCCACUUGGUAGAUUGCAACGCGGUUGAAACAGAAAUUCUGAACAUAAUGGGAAGAAGCAUCUUCUUAGCUCGUUUGUGCGGUGUGAAUGUUUGGCUAUGGCUGCUUUUGCAAUCGUUUUGAAGAGCGAUCAAUAAUGUGCACUUGUGGUCCAGAUUCCAAAAUGGGAUUGUGAAAAGUUGUAGGACAUUGUGGGACUGGACUAAACAUGCGUAAGAUUGAAGUGGAAGCACGGCUACAUCGAGCCACAUCAACUUCUUUGGCUAUUCUUUUUAGUUAAUCCUU